rnacentral:tRNA from 1 species
GCUGCCGUGGCACAAUCUGGUACUGCGCAACCCUGGAACGGUUGUUUCCUAACGGAUCUCCCGGUUCGAAUCCGGGCGGCAGCG